rnacentral:rRNA from 1 species
CUACGGGUUGCUGCAGUGGGGAAUAUUGCACAAUGGAGGAAACUCUGAUGCAGCAACGCCGCGUGGAGGAUGACACUUUUCGGAGCGUAAACUCCUUUUAUAUAGGAAGAUAAUGACGGUACUAUAUGAAUAAGCACCGGCUAACUCCGUGCCAGCAGCCGCGGUAAUACGGAGGGUGCAAGCGUUACUCGGAAUCACUGGGCGUAAAGAGCGUGUAGGCGGAUAGAUAAGUCAGGAGUGAAAUCCUAUGGCUCAACCAUAGAACUGCUCUUGAAACUGUCUAUCUAGAAUAUGGGAGAGGUAGAUGGAAUUUCUGGUGUAGGGGUAAAAUCCGUAGAGAUCAGAAGGAAUACCGAUUGCGAAGGCGAUCUACUGGAACAUUAUUGACGCUGAGACGCGAAAGCGUGGGGAGCAAACAGGAUUAGAUACCCCUGUAGUC